rnacentral:rRNA from 1 species
GGGUUCUACCAUCGGUCGGGCUACCAAGUCUGUACUGGUGUGUAGAAUUCCUACCUUCUGGGGAACCAUCAUGUUAUUAAUUUAGCGUUGUGGGAAACCAGGACCUUUACCUUGAAAAAAUUAGAGUGUUCAAAGCAGGCUUAUGUCUGAAUACAUUAGCAUGGAAUAAUAGAAUAGGACGGUGGUCCUGUUUUGUUGGUUUCUGAAUCACCGUAAUGAUUA